AACUACUACUGUUUUUAGUGAGUGAGGGUCCAGUGUUUCACAUUAAAUAUUUAGUAUUUGUGACUAGAUCCACACUCAUUAAUAACGGUAGUUC
rnacentral:pre_miRNA from 1 species